CAAAGGAAUUGACGGGGGCCCGCACAAGCGGUGGAGUAUGUGGUUUAAUUCGAUGCAACGCGAAGAACCUUACCAGGGUUUGACAUCCUGCGAAUCUCUUGGAAACGAGAGAGUGCCUUCGGGAACGCAGUGACAGGUGGUGCAUGGCUGUCGUCAGCUCGUGUCGUGAGAUGUCGCGUUAAGUCGCUUAACGAGCGAAACCCUUGUCUCUAGUUGCCAGCGAGUAAAGUCGGGGACUCUAGAGAGACCGCCGGCGUUAAGCCGGAGGAAGGUGGGGA
rnacentral:rRNA from 14 species